UUUAUGGAGAGUUUGAUCCUGGCUCAGGAUGAACGCUGGCGGCGUGCCUAAUACAUGCAAGUCGAGCGAACGGAUGAGAAGCUUGCUUCUCUGAUGUUAGCGGCGGACGGGUGAGUAACACGUGGAUAACCUACCUAUAAGACUGGGAUAACUUCGGGAAACCGGAGCUAAUACCGGAUAAUAUUUUGAACCGCAUGGUUC
rnacentral:rRNA from 1 species